AUGGCCUUGGAGCUAAAUAAAGGCAGGCCCGUCUUAGAGGGGAUCCCUGGGGGGAAAGAGACAAGCAUAGGUUCCUCCCAAGAUGCCACCCGCUUCAUUCAAGUGUCUGGCAGCACUGUGUUCCUGUUAGAGCCACCAGCACAAGCACCAGACGAUGCUGAUCCAGGUGAAGGCCCCAGUGCAGCAGCAACAGCACAUGAUGGAGACGAUGAUGAGGAGGAGACCAUCUCUCUGGAUUCCAGAAGGCAUGAGGUAUCAUGUUAAGAUGUGAAGUAAGUUACUCUACAAUGGUGAGGAGUCCUCAUCAAAAUCAAAAAAUCUAAUUUCUUACAGGACCAGAUGCUAUACAGUGGGAAAACCAGCCUGGCAACAUAGUGCGUAUUAAUAAAAGGACACAACAUCCUGCCAAAUUCCAGCUGCGCUAAUGUAUUGUGUUCACAGAGCUCACAAGCUAUCAGAAAGUUGUAUGGCAACCACCUCCGGCGCCAAAUAGAACUGGCAGACAUAGACAUUCAGUACAAGAAGAAAAAGAUGGAAAAUCUUGCACUGGAGUUCGAAAUAAAAAAGAGGACAAUUAGGAAACUGGACCUUGAAAUAAAAAAACUUGAGAGGGAGGUGAGAUAUGCUAACUGUAACACAAAUGUAUAAUCAUUAUUUUCUUUCCUCCCCCAGCUCCAAGAAGAUGACACAGCUCAAAAUAAAAUAGGUAUAUCUCGU
rnacentral:lncRNA from 1 species